CCUACUCCUAAAAAGGUAAUAUCCUCGGAAAAACCCUUACUCUAUGACGGCCUUUUACCUAACCAGAGGAACUUGUUACAUCAGCGAAAUUACCCGUUCAAUUUCACUUUCUUCCAGAGUUUUUAUACCGUCGUCUUAAGACACUGCUUACUAGCAACUUCGCCCCUAAUAAUCUAAUUAAGUCAGAUCAAGGUGAAGCAAACAAGAAAGAUACUCAUGAGUUAUUUAUAAAAAUUAUUUAAGAAUGAAACCCCAAAGCUAUACUGAAUUAAGAUCUGGCAGUAAAUUCCUUUUAAUAAAAGAGAUUGAAACAGCAAUAAAAGGUGC
rnacentral:rRNA from 1 species